UAUGGUUUUACAUUUUCGUAGCAUCUCAUAAAUUACAAGCAAUUCCAUGCAACGAAAUUUGAGAUUCGACUUUGGCAAAUGCCGGAUAAAUUGAAACCUGCGAUACCAUAUUCAUUAAAUAUGGUUUUACAGGAUUCAAAGUGAACGGGAUGAUAUUAUUAAAAAGAAAUCAUGGUUAAGGAAUCUAAUAUAAACAAGAAGGAUGAAUACGACAAGGCUGUAAAAUUUGCUGAUGAUGAAGCUCUUUGCAAGGAAUACUGCCAUCCAUCUCUAAAAUAAACUACUCCCAUAAAAAAUAAUCUAUCAGGUUGUGGAUCAUCUCUAACAGAGAUCAGAAGCAAAUCUAGAGAGAAAUUACCAAUGCAGGAAUAUAAUGAUGAAUGUAAUGACAAACAAUUCACCAACAAGGUUCGCAAAGUGAUUAAGAAGGAAAAAAAACAUGAGUAGGAAAGUCCAUGUUCAACUGUAAUCUUUUCUGCUAAUUUUAAUUUCAGUUUAUUUUGUAAUGAAUACAAGAUCUUUUAGUUAUGAACAAGUACUAUCUUAGAUAUUUUCAUAAUGUAAUGAAGAAUAUGUGUGGUUGUUU